CCUGUAUCCAAUGGGAUGCCGCAGAGGCGUCCGUGCGUACGACCCGCUGACACCGCCCACCUCUUCACCUUCUCGGCGUGGAAACCGCGAGAGCGAGGUAGAGCGUUGAUGCUUGCAGCGCUUGUUUCAGGUUUCUCAGUGGUUUCUGUAAUAUGCUACUGCAUCGUUGCACCGUCAUAUCGAUGAGAAGGGUGCGCCACCCAGUAUUUCUGGGCUGGAACCAAAAUGCAGGCCACCUAAAUAUUUCUCGAAUUACGAGGGCAAGGAUUUUCUGUGGUUAUUGGAAUGGCAUCUGAAGCCCCACUGACUGGAAUCCAAUCCUGUCUUCACCGCGUCCUUUGGUCAGCAUUACAUGGUGACCCAGAUGGGACCCAAAGGAGAGGAACCCCUGAGGAAGUCACGACCCCCAGAACCAUGUAAAGUACCUACGUUAGUACCUUGUGCUUUCUGCUUCUGUGAGUCAUCUUGCCUUUAGUUCGUGCGUUCCUGGGAGACAAAGAUCUAAAGCGUCAUACCUUGCAGUCCAGAGAUUUCAUCUGUUGGAAAAGACAGCUACAGAAAGACUCUCUUCAACCCUGUGGAAAGGCCCCUUUCAGAUUUAUUUUUUAAACUAAUCUCUCCACCCAACAUGGAGCUCGAACUCACAACCCCGAGAUCAAGAGUUGCACACUCUUCUGACUGAGCCAGCCAAGCAGCCUCCCGUGUGUCACAUCUAACGAAAGCACCAGACCCUGACUAGAUCUGCACAUCCCAUGAGUACCUGGAAAUAAAGAUUUCCAGGAAUUGAAGCAGACGACAGCUGAAGGAGACAGCUUUCCCAAGAUGAUUGGACCAGACCUGUAUACCUUUUUCUCGAUGUUGCUUCUUACCUUAUUUCCUCCCUUUCUUUGUAAUCUAUUGCAAAAAGGGAGCCUUUCUGGCUGUUGGAUCUGACACCAGAAACUUCGAUUUGUUCUUCCCUAUUUAUUAUUUGUUUCCCUGCAUCCAAGGGAAAUACAAAUAAGCUAACUCCUCUUUGCAAG